UACGUAGGGCGCAAGCGUUGUCCGGAAUUAUUGGGCGUAAAGAGCUCGUAGGCGGUUUGUCACGUCGGCUGUGAAAACCCGAGGCUCAACCUCGGGCCUGCAGUCGAUACGGGCAGACUAGAGUGCUGUAGGGGAGACUGGAAUUCCUGGUGUAGCGGUGAAAUGCGCAGAUAUCAGGAGGAACACCGGUGGCGAAGGCGGCCCACUGGGCAGUCACUGACGCUGAGGCGCGAAAGCUCGGGGAGCGAACGGG
rnacentral:rRNA from 1 species